AAGGAAAUGACCAAUUAUUAGGCUCAGAAUAGUGUAUCAUCAUAGCCAAUAUCUCAACAAUUUUUAUGUAGGAAAGUUUCGGUUAAGGGAUUCUAAAAGUAUGCCCUCUAAUUUUAAUAAAAAUUAAUGGGAGAAAAAAUAGUAAGUUUGAAGUACAUGCAUUGCUGGCACCAGUUGCUAAAAAAGACCAAAUUUUAGUCAUUGGUCUCUUAGGUACCUCUGUGGGUGCACAGAUAGAUGCUUUCCUCUAACAAAUUCCAAG
rnacentral:lncRNA from 1 species